rnacentral:rRNA from 1 species
UACGUAGGGGGCAAGCGUUGUCCGGAUUUACUGGGCGUAAAGAGCGUGUAGGCGGCCAAGCAGGUCCGUUGUGAAAACUGGAGGCUUAACCUCCAGACGUCGACGGAAACCGCGUGGCUAGAGUCCGGAAGAGGAGAGUGGAAUUCCUGGUGUAGCGGUGAAAUGCGCAGAUAUCAGGAAGAACACCAAUGGCGAAGGCAGCUCUCUGGGACGGGACUGACGCUGAGACGCGAAAGCGUGGGGAGCGAACAGG